rnacentral:rRNA from 1 species
UGCAGUCGACGCCCCGCAAGGGGAGUGGCACACGGGUGAGUAACGCGUGGGAAUCUACCGUGCCCUGCGGAAUAGCUCCGGGAAACUGGAAUUAAUACCGCAUACGCCCUACGGGGGAAAGAUUUGUCGGGGUAUGAUGAGCCCGCGUUGGAUUAGCUAGUUGGUGGGGUAAAGGCCUACCAAGGCGACGAUCCAUAGCUGGUCUGAGAGGAUGAUCAGCCACAUUGGGACUGAGACACGGCCCAAACUCCUACGGGAGGCAGCAGUGGGGAAUAUUGGACAAUGGGCGCAAGCCUGAUCCAGCCAUGCCGCGUGAGUGAUGAAGGCCUUAGGGUUGUAAAGCUCUUUCACCGGGAAGAUAAUGACGGUCUCCGGAGAAAAAUCCCCGGCUAACUUCGUGCCAGCGUCCGCGGUAAUACGAAGGGGGUUAGCGUUGUUCAGCAUUACAGGGCAUAAAACGCAC